UACGUAGGCAGCAAGCGUUGUUCGGAGUUACUGGGCGUAAAGCGUGCGCAGGCGGUUUUGUAAGUCUGUCGUGAAAUCCCCGGGCUCAACCUGGGAAUUGCGAUGGAGACUGCAAGGCUAGAAUCUGGCAGAGGGGGGUAGAAUUCCACGUGUAGCAGUGAAAUGCGUAGAGAUGUGGAGGAACACCGAUGGCGAAGGCAGCCCCCUGGGUCAAGAUUGACGCUCAUGCACGAAAGCGUGGGGAGCAAACAGG
rnacentral:rRNA from 1 species